rnacentral:misc_RNA from 1 species
UAGUUGAGUUGAGUUGAGUAUGUUAAAUUUUGGGUUUAACUAACUUGUAACAAAUCAAUAUUUUCAGUGCUGUAACACCUCAUCUCAAUGUAUAUGAUUGUUUCUGUAACUAAGAUCAAAGAUCAAUUGAUUGUGCUAAAGAUUUCAACCUAAUCAAUUUUUGUUUUUCUGUUAUAGUCACCAAAUUUUGAAAAUUGCUUAAUUGUUGUUCUUUGCUAUCACAUUGGUUGCAUAAAUCAGGACACUAAAGCAGAAGGCAGG